CGGCGAAGAGCGGCGAGGAGCGGCUGAAGGAGAUGGAGGCCGAGAUGGCGCUGUCAGCAGCGACAGCCUUGGAGGAGCCUCAGGAUUGCUCCCUGCAGUGAUCCCUGCUCCAGCCUUGGAAUACAGAGCAAAAACCCAGGGAAUGCUCCGUGCCUGCAGCUCUCCCGCUCUGGGCUGUGCCACCUCCACACAGCUUCUCCUGGGAAGUUCUCUGCAGCCCAGCACAGGAGGAUCCAGCUCUGCUCGCGGCCCUCUGCUCCUGGAGUCGUCGAGGAGCAGCUGCAACAAUUCCCCGAGUCCCAUUCCCGCCUUUCGGGACGUUUCCUUGGAGCUCCCUUUGUUCUGUGACAUGUCCCAGAGCGAGGCUAUAGGGAUUUGUCUCAGUUUGAAGAAACUGGAAUGUUUGUUAAA